rnacentral:rRNA from 1 species
CGCGUAGGCGGCCAACUUUGUCAGGCGUGAAAGCCCCGGGCUCAACCUGGGAAUUGCGCUUGGGACGGGUUGGCUUGAGUUCGGGAGAGGAGAGUGGAAUUCCCAGUGUAGAGGUGAAAUUCGUAGAUAUUGGGAAGAACACCGGUGGCGAAGGCGGCUCUCUGGACCGAUACUGACGCUGAGGCGCGAAAGCGUGGGGAGCAAACAGGAUUAGAUACCCUGGUAGUCCACGCUGUAAACGAUGUGUGCUAGACGUUGGGGAGCCUAGCUCUUCGGUGUCGCAGCUAACGCGAUAAGCACACCGCCUGGGGAGUACGGCCGCAAAGGUUAAA